GAAGGUAUAGCUCAGUGGUAGAGUAUGUGUUUAGCAUGCACAGGUCCUGGGUUCAAUCCCCAGUACUGCCA
rnacentral:tRNA from 1 species